rnacentral:misc_RNA from 1 species
GACUUUGGAAUGGCAAGGAUUUUCGGGACUGAUCAAACACAGGCCAGUACAAAACGAGUGGUUGGUACAUAUGGCUACAUGUCUCCAGAAUACGUAGUAUAUGGCCAAUUCUCGGAGAAAUCAGAUGUAUUCAGCUUUGGAGUAUUGUUGUUGGAAAUCUUGACUGGUGAACGAAACUCAGACUUCUUCACAACUGAAGUUUGUGUAUCUCUAUUAGGAUGGGCAUGGAAAAUGUGGAAAGAAGGAAGAAUGUUGGAGUUGAUUGAUCCAUCAAUAAGGGCAAUCUGCGACAGUAACAAAGCAGCACGGUCUGUUCUGGUUUCUCUUCUUUGCGUUCAAGAAGUUCCUACUGAUCGACCAACAAUGUCUGAUAUAGUUGUCAUGUUAAGCAACGAAACAACACCCAUCCCUGAGCCAAAAGAACCGGCUUUCCGCAGCAGCUGGCGACAUCAAACGUCAAGCGAUUUCUCCAUAAAUGAGUUGACAUUAACUUUGCCAGUACCUAGAUGAGAGGAUUUAGCUUUCUAUUUCUCUUAUGGAAUUAAUAUUAUUUUGUAAAGAACCAUCUUCUCAAAAAUGUUUAGCACUGUAAAUAAAAAAGAAUCAAA